GGGCUAAUUUCUAUCGCGCCAAUUUUCUUUUUCCCCUCCAUUUCUCUUGUCCCCGAUUUUUCCAAAAUAAUUUUAGGAAGAAACAAUGUACUUCCUCCCAAUUGUGCCGGUAACUCAUCUUCUCCUUCCUUUUUACGCUGUCAGAGUCUCACUCCUCCACAGUCUCGCUCUCGCUCUCGCUCUCCAACUCUGUCUCGAGCUCCAAAGGAAAGGAUUUCCUCAAAUAAAUAUUUGUAGCAGAAGAAUCAAAUUCGUGAGCUUACAACUGGAAUGGAUACAGAUCGACUAUGAAUGUAGCAACGGCUUGAGGAUGGUUUCUUAAGACCUCAAUUCGCAGAUGGAGUAAAUGAUUUUGUUGAAUUUGCACUGUUACGUCCUACAUAUAUGGAUGGUGAUAAGUUGCGAUGUCCUUGCAAUAACAUUAAAUGUAGAAAUUAUGACUUCUUGGAUAUCGAGACCGUGCAGUUCUACCUGUUUAAAUAUGGAUUUCUACCAAAUUAUUAUUUAUAGUAUUUACAUGGGGAACCCGUGAAUGGGUCAAGCUUUGGAAACCAUGAGGUAGAAGAAUAUGCCAAUCCAAGAUGUGAAAUGGAUUCUGAAAUAGGAAAGCGGUAUUGUGAGAUGGUUAUGGAUGCAAUGGGGAUGCAUGGGAUGAUAGAUGAUAUGGAGGAAACACAAAAUCAAAAUGCACAACAACUGUUUGACAUGUUAAAUAUGUCAAAUCAAGAUUUAUGGCUAGGUUGUAAGAAGCAUUCUCAGUUUUCUGCUGUUGCGAGAAUUUUGUACCUAAAGUCGAAGCUUAAUUUCUCUGAAAGAUGUUUCGAUGGAUUGCUUGAGUUUCUACAUGAGGUGCUUUCAAAAGAAAAUGCCAUGCUAGACACUUUUUACAAUACAAAAAGGUUGGUUUGGGGACUAAGUCUUCUAGUUGAGAAGAUCGAUUGUUGUAAAAACAAUUUUAUGAUAUUUUAGCAUGAGGACAAUGAUGUGCUUGUUUUUAAGUUUUGUCAUCACCCUAGAUACAAACAGAGGACAAAUGGCAGUCACAACUGCGAUGUUAGUAAACCAUAUAAGAAAAUGUACUAUUUUUUGCUGACUUCUCGUCUUUAUCGAUUAUAUGCUUCCGAUGCAAUGGUAAAGCACAUGGGAUGACAUGUUGAGCAUAAAGAAAAACUAGGAUAUAUGCAUCAUCCCUCAAAUUCACUAGCUUAGAAGCACUUCAAUAACAUAAAUGAGUCAUUCGCUUCAAAGAGUAGAAAUGUUUUGCUUGGUUUAUGCACUGAUGGGUUUCAGCCAUUUGGCCAAUCAGGACAACAAUACUCAUCUUGGCCUAUCAUUCUAACUCAGUAUAAUUUGCCGCUUGGAAUGUGAAUGAAAUCAGAGUACAUUUCCUCACCAUAAUAGUUCCAAGGACAAACAAUCCAAAGUUUAAGAUUGAUGUCUUCUUGCAACCUCUUAUCUGAAAAUUACUUCAACUUUGGAAUAUUGGUGUUAAGACUUAUGAUGUUUCAUCCAAGACAAGCUUCACUUUAGGAGUAGCUUAGCUAUGGACUAUUAGUGAUUUUUCGGCCUUAGCAAUGCUUUCUGGUUGGAGUACAGCUGGACAACUUGCAUGCCCACAUUGCCAAGUGGAAACUGAUGCUUUUUUUAGUCUUCCAAAGUGAGGUAAACAAUCAUGGUUUGAUAAUCAUCGAAAAUUUCUAUUAGCAAAUCACUUGUGGCCUAGAAACAAAAAUUAGUUUAGGAAGAAUUGAGUUGUGUCAUCCUCAGCACUGAGAGUUAAAUUAGGCAAAAAGAGUUUAAAAGAAAUAGAAAGAUUGAGGUUGAUGCGAGUCACAGAUAUUCAUUCAGAUGAAAUCAAUUCUGCAAUUAGUAAGAUAUGUGGCUGGAGAAAACAUAGCAUCUUUUAGGACUUGCCUUAUUGGAAAACCCUUUUGAUUCGACACAAUCUUGAUGUUAUGCACAUUGAGAAGAAUUUUUUUGAGAAUUUGUUCAACACUGCCAUGAUAUAUAGAAGGGAAAACAAAGGACAAUGCAAAGGCAAGAGAAGAUAUAAAGGAUAUACGUCAUAGACCAGAGCUUAAGUGUAAUCCACAUGUGGAGAAGUAUCCAAAAGCAUGUUACAUGCUUGAUAAACUUGUGAAACAAAUCCUUUUGAGUAGCUUAAGGCCAUUAGAUUCCCUGAUGGCUAUGUUUCAAAUAUUGGCCUGUGUGUAGACAUGAAGAAGUAUAAAUUGUUGGGGUUGAAAAGCCACGACUGCUAUGUUUUCAUGCAGCGCUUGGUAUCCAUUAUUUUUUGUGAUUUGUUGCCUGCAAAAGUAUGGGAAGUAGUAAUAGAACUUUGUUUUUUUAAGGAAUUAAUAAGUACUGUCUUGCGAUAAGAAGAUAUGGACUGUUUACAAUAAGAAAUUCGAAUUAUUUUGUGUAAGCUUCAGCGUAUAUUCCCUCUAGGAUUUAUUUGACUCAAUGGAGCAUCUUCCAAAUGAAGCAAAACUUAUAGGCCUUGUGCAAUAUUGUUGGAUGUAUCCAUUUAAGAUGUAUAUUUACAUUUAAUCCAAAAUAAAAACCAAAGUUGCAUUUUUUUUGCUAUUUAUAAUUGACUUUAAUGCACUUAUGAAUAUACCAUAAACAUAAAGGCAAUACGAAGUUAAAAAAGAAUGUGAGGAACAAAGCCAAAGUUGAAGGCUCUAUUGCUAAUGCAUAUCUUGUGGAAGAAGCAGCAAUCUUUUGUGCACAUUACUUCGAGCCUCAUGUUUACACGAGAUAUCGAAGAGUGCCUCGCAAUGUGACUCUAAUUGAAAGAGAGAAAUUAGAAGGAAAUUUGUCUACAUUCACUCAUCCCGGGUGACCGAUAGGCAAAGGCCAAAAAAGAAUAUUAACAGAACAAGAAAUUCGCGCAGAUCAAGCGUACAUCUUGUUGAAUUGUAUUGAAGUGUCUCCUUUUGUUGAGUGAGUGUAACCACUAAUAAUGCAUUAUGAUUUAUAUUAUCUUAAAAACACUUUAACUAAAAAGACUGGUUAUGGAUUCUUCUCGUCCUAUGUGACUUUUUAUAAGAUAUAUGUAUCCUAGCUCAGGAAUUCUAUUCCAGAUAUUACAGACAAUGAGGUUGAUAUUAGGCUAGAUAUGGACUUUGCACGUUGGUUCCACUCGUAUGUAAGAAUCAUAGUAUAAUUUUAAUGUUUUUACGUUUAACAACUUAUUGCAUUAUAAAUAUGAGCUGAGGCAAUGGGAGGAAUGGUGGUGCACCUGGAUGGGGAUCACAUACUGGCAGAGAGGUAGAGGUAAUGGUACAUCUAGUGGUAGAGGUCGCAGUUCGAUAGGAGAAGGCUCUAAUAUUCCUUAAACACAAUCUACUCAUGAGGCGAGUAUAGAUCCCAAUCAUUCAGCCUACAAAAGCAUCUAUAGAUCCUCUUCCACCUUUAGCACCACGUAGAUGUUGUGGCAGAGGUCAAGGUAGAGGGGCGACAUGUUCAGAUGCUAAAUUAUCAGUGAUGGUAGGUUGAUUGUCUGGCUUAUUGGUGAAAGGCUUUAUCCAUCUUCUAAAUGCUCAAGACUUAUUAGAGAUAAUUUCAAGGAGAGGUUAGAUGAGAAAGGAACUAGUUGGAGGACAGUUAGACCUGAGACUAAGGAUUUUUAUUAGCGAGAAUUCCAAAAACGUUGUGAUUGGAACAAAGCAAUUAAUGCAACCAUAAAGAUUGCAUAGGAAAAACAGGCAGCAUUGAGAUAUUUAGAUCUUCUGAGUUGCUUAAAGCAUGAGGGAAAGAAACCAUAUAUUAAGGAUAAUGUUUGGGAAAAGUGGAGUGAAUAUUGGAAAAGACCUGAGGUUAUUUAGAAGUCAGAGCUUUUAUCGAAGAACCGCAGGUUAUAGAAAGACGGUGAAGGGUUUGGUAUGUCUCUCCAUACUGGAGGAUCCAUAUCUAUGUUAAAGAGCAUAAAGAAAACAUGACUGCAGAGACUAGAAAUGAGCAUACCUUGGGAAGCUUUUCUAUCACCUCCAUACAAAAAAGAAAGAUAAUGUUGAUAAUAAUUUUAUUGACAAUCGGUCCAAGCGAGUAUUUGAGGACAACCAAUCUUAGAUGGAUAAUACUUCUCAAUGCCAGACAGGAGUAGAUUCAAAGCAACAAAUCCAGGAUGAUAGAGAAAUUUCCAUUUAGGCUACAGGAGGAUGACGUUGUAGGCAAAUAUAUGAUAUUAGGACUCAGGCAUUGAGUUACUACUCUAGUACUAGUCGAUGUUCGCCAUCUGCUUCAUCACCAGCUGUGGAGAUAGUCACACUAGAGAGAUUAGUGCAGUAACAGUCUGAUAUGCUUGAAUAGAUUCAUCAACAUCUUCAGAUGCGGCCGAGACAGACCUCCACAGCUUCUCCAUCUAAUUCCACUUAUUUUACUGCUCCUUGGUUAGAUUUGAUCCCUUUCCUGCUGUUCCUCCUACUGCGACAGUUAGGCCUGAUGGAAGUUUUGAUGCAUCUACCAUCUGGAUUCCAUGCUAAUCGGAUUACAAAUAACAUAGAGGAUGAUCGAGAUGAGGGCCUUGAUCAGUAGUCAUCCUAAUAAACUAGUAUCAUCUCUAUUUAAACAAUUAAAAUAUAUAACUAAUGUUGAGAGACCUUUUUUUUUUUCUUCCUUUGUCUUUAUAAUUUUAAUACAGUAUCAAACAUGUUUGCUGAAUUAAUAUAUUGUAGGUGUAUUAUGGUA